UCAAGCGAAUAAGCGCACACGGUGGAUGCCUUGGCGGUCAGAGGCGAUGAAGGACGUGGCAGCCUGCGAAAAGUAUCGGGGAGCUGGCAACAAGCUUUGAUCCGGUAAUGUCCGAAUGGGGAAACCCACCCGCUUGCGGGUAUCCUGCAGUGAAUACAUAGCUGCUGGAAGCGAACCUGGUGAACUGAAAUAUCUAAGUAACCAGAGGAAAAGAAAUCAACCGAGAUUCCGUAAGUAGCGACGAGCGAACGCGGACUAGCCCUUAAGCUGGAUUGGUUCUAGGAAAACGCUCUGGAAAGAGCGGCCAUAGAAGGUGAUAGCCCUGUAUCUGAAAGGGCCAUUCCAGUGAAGACGAGUAGGGCGGGGCACGUGAAACCCUGUCUGAACAUGGGGGGACCAUCCUCCAAGGCUAAAUACUACUGACCGACCGAUAGUGAACCAGUACCGUGAGGGAAAGGCGAAAAGAACCCCGGAGAGGGGAGUGAAAUAGAACCUGAAACCGUGUGCGUACAAGCAGUAGGAGCUCCGCAAGGAGUGACUGCGUACCUUUUGUAUAAUGGGUCAGCGACUUACUGUUCGUGGCAAGCUUAACCGUAUAGGGGAGGCGAAGGGAAACCGAGUCUGAUAAGGGCGCAUAGUCGCGGGCAGUAGACCCGAAACCGGGUGAUCUAGUCAUGCCCAGGGUGAAGGUGCGGUAACACGCACUGGAGGCCCGAACCCACUCCCGUUGCAAAGGUAGGGGAUGAGGUGUGAUUAGGAGUGAAAAGCUAAUCGAACCCGGAGAUAGCUGGUUCUCCUCGAAAGCUAUUUAGGUAGCGCCUCAUAUGUAUCCUCUCGGGGGUAGAGCACUGUUAUGGCUAGGGGGUCAUCGCGACUUACCAAACCAUUGCAAACUCCGAAUACCGAGACGGACUGUAUGGGAGACACACGGCGGGUGCUAACGUCCGUCGUGAAAAGGGAAACAACCCAGACCCACAGCUAAGGUCCCAAAUUCACUGCUAAGUGGAAAACCAUGUGGAAAGGCACAGACAGCCAGGAGGUUGGCUUAGAAGCAGCCACCCUUUAAAGAAAGCGUAAUAGCUCACUGGUCGAGUCGGUCUGCGGGGAAGAUUUAACGGGGCUAAGCAGUGAACCGAAGCUUGGGGUGCAUAACUUUGUUAUGCGCGGUAGAGGAGCGUUCCGUAAGCCGUUGAAGGUGGAUUGAGAAGUCUGCUGGAGGUAUCGGAAGUGCGAAUGCUGACAUGAGUAACGAUAAUGCGGGUGAAAAACCCGCACGCCGAAAGCCCAAGGUUUCCUUGCGCAACGUUAAUCGGCGCAGGGUGAGUCGGCCCCUAAGGCGAGGACGAAAGUCGUAGUCGAUGGGAAGCAGGUUAAUAUUCCUGCACCUCGCGUAAGUGCGAUGGAGGGACGGAGAAGGUUAGGUGUACCAGGCGUUGGUUGUCCUGGGGAAAGGCGGUAGGUUUGGAUCUUUGGCAAAUCCGGGAUCCUUUAAGACCGAGCACCGAGACGAGCCUUUAUGGCGAAGUCACUGAUACCACGCUUCCAGGAAAAGCUCCUAAGCUUCAGCUUACGCAGACCGUACCGUAAACCGACACAGGUGGGUAGGAUGAGAAUUCUCAGGCGCUUGAGAGAACUCGGGUGAAGGAACUAGGCAACAUGGCACCGUAACUUCGGGAGAAGGUGCACCCUUUUUGGUGGCUCGUGCGAGCUAUAGCUGAAGAGGGUCGCAGUAACCAGGCCGCUGCGACUGUUUAUCAAAAACACAGCACUCUGCAAACACGAAAGUGGACGUAUAGGGUGUGACGCCUGCCCGGUGCUGGAAGGUUAAUUGAUGGGGUCAGCCGCAAGGCGAAGCUCUUGAUCGAAGCCCCAGUAAACGGCGGCCGUAACUAUAACGGUCCUAAGGUAGCGAAAUUCCUUGUCGGGUAAGUUCCGACCUGCACGAAUGGCGUAACGACAGCGGCGCUGUCUCCACCCGAGACUCAGUGAAAUUGAAAUCGCUGUGAAGAUGCAGCGUUCCCGUGGCAAGACGGAAAGACCCCGUGAACCUUUACUAUAGCUUUACACUGAACGUUGAGUUCGUCUGUGUAGGAUAGGUGGGAGGCUAUGAAACCAUGGCGCUAGCUGUGGCGGAGCCAUCCUUGAAAUACCACCCUGUCGUGCUUGACGUUCUAACCUGGGCCCAUUAUCUGGGUCGGGGACCGUGUAUGGUGGGUAGUUUGACUGGGGCGGUCUCCUCCUAAAGAGUAACGGAGGAGCUCGAAGGUACGCUCAGCGCGGUCGGACAUCGCGCACUGUGUGCAAAGGCAUAAGCGUGCUUGACUGCAAGAUCGACGGAUCAAGCAGGUAGGAAACUAGGACUUAGUGAUCCGGUGGUUCUGUAUGGAAGGGCCAUCGCUCAACGGAUAAAAGGUACUCCGGGGAUAACAGGCUGAUACCGCCCAAGAGUUCAUAUCGACGGCGGUGUUUGGCACCUCGAUGUCGGCUCAUCACAUCCUGGGGCUGUAGUCGGUCCCAAGGGUAUGGCUGUUCGCCAUUUAAAGUGGUACGCGAGCUGGGUUCAGAACGUCGUGAGACAGUUCGGUCCCUAUCUGCCAUGGGCGUUGGAGAUUUGAGAGGGGCUGCUCCUAGUACGAGAGGACCGGAGUGGACGAACCUCUGGUGUUCCGGUUGUCACGCCAGUGGCAUUGCCGGGUAGCUAUGUUCGGAAGCGAUAACCGCUGAAAGCAUCUAAGCGGGAAGCGCGCCUCAAGAUGAGAUCUCCCGGGGCACAAGCCCCCUGAAGGAACCAUGUAGACUACGUGGUUGAUAGGUCAGGUGUGUAAGUACAGCAAUGUAUUGAGCUAACUGAUACUAAUGAUCCGUGCGGCUUGACCA
rnacentral:rRNA from 1 species